rnacentral:rRNA from 1 species
GGAAGUAAAAGUCGUAACAAGGUUUCCGUAGGUGAACCUGCGGAAGGAUCAUUAUUGAAUAAACCUGGCUUGGUUGUUGCUGGUCUUUUCGGAGACAUGUGCACGCCUUGUCAUCUUUAUAUUUCCACCUGUGCACCUUUUGUAGACUUGAGGACAGAUUUCCGAGGCAACUCGGUCGUGAGGAAUUGCUUUAACCGGCUUUCCUUGAAUGUCUUCAAGCCUAUGUUUCAUAUACACCAUAAGAAUGUAACAGAAUGUCAUUAUUAGACUUAUGUCUUAUAAACUAUAUACGACUUUCAGCAACGGAUCUCUUGGCUCUCGCAUCGAUGAAGAACGCAGCGAAAUGCGAUAAGUAAUGUGAAUUGCAGAAUUCAGUGAAUCAUCGAAUCUUUGAACGCACCUUGCGCUCCUUGGUAUUCCGAGGAGCAUGCCUGUUUGAGUGUCAUUAAAUUCUCAACCUUUAUCAGCUUUUUGGUUGAUAAAUGGCUUGGAUGUGGGAGCUUGCAGGUUUCUCUUUUGAAAUCAGCUCUCCUGAAAUACAUUAGCUGGUUGCCUUGUGUAGACUAGUCUAUUAGUGUGAUAAUUAUCUACGCUGUGGACUGUUUACCGAUUAUAGCACUGCUUCUAAUCGUCUGUUAACUCGGACAAUAUAUGACAAUUUGACCUCAAAUCAGGUAGGACUACCCGCUGAACUUAAGCAUAUCAAUAAGCGGAGGA